GAGGGAAGGAUAAGCAGUCUCUUUCUGGACUCCCUGUGGAGCAUGUAGUAGGCGCUUAAUGAAUGUUUGCAGACAGAUGACCAGAGCCCUCAGGACCUCUGCUGGCGGCGCUGGCCGGGUGGAGACCCCAUGAAGCAGGGCAGGAUUGCAUCUGUUUGCUUCUCUGGGAGCCAUGGACACGGUCUUGGCCCCUCAGCCACCACCGAGUGCAGACUUGGAAUGUGCUUCUCUGGAAGAUGAGGCCCAGCGCCCGCGUCAGGGCUGCGUGCCUUGCAGAACACACAUGCGUGUCUGGAAACCCCGGGCUGGCCCAGGCUGCACGGAGGCCUGCGUGAAACCCGUACCGUGCACCCUUUGCUAUCUGCGUGACAGGUGUGACUGCCCCUUCACAGAUCAUCUGUCGGCACGAGUGACUCGGGGACGGGGAGGCAGAGACUGCUGGGUCUGAAGUCGGUCUCGGGCGGACCUGAGCACCUGCUCGCUCCUACGUACUCAUGACUUAGAAAGCACAGUGCUCACAGAGGACGCGGCGGCUUGGCUCCCACAAGGCGCACCAGCCUUAAGCCUGGGGACCUGGCCCUGCGCGCAGCUGGCUCUGGUCUGGGGCCCCGGAUGUGCGGCCCGUGGAGGAGACACACGCGGGUGGGCUCAGGAAGCGGCAGUGCCGGUUUGGUGUCUCCUGAGGUCAAGGAACAAGUCACCCAUCCUGACCCGGCCUCCUAAAGCCCGCCUAGCAUCCUGGUCAGAAAGGGACUGGCCACCAGAUAUCCAGCAGGGCUGCUCUGCACCCAGCACCCUGCACCUGCGGGGAGGUGGCCCAGAACAGUGUGCGGAUGGCUGCCCAAGUGUCAGUGCUCUGCAGCUGCAUUUCCUCCUGGGCCGACCACACACCUGCACGGCCCAGGCUCUUCCGGGGGUCCACUGUGGGGCUCCUUGGCCACCAGGGAAGAGCAGGGGCAGACGAGCCUCUGGGAGCAGGGAGCUGUGGCCAGGGAGGCUGACCCUCUUACUCUCCUUGUUGGGGCUCAGGCUUCAGGAGGCAAGGGUGGGGGGGCCACAUGUAGAAUAGCCACCACUUGCAGCCCGGGAAGGAUGGCUCAGGCACAGAGGCAUCAGGGACACAGCGGUGUGCCCAGGCCAGAGCGUCUCACUGCUGGUGACUUUGAAUCCCGGGGAGACAUCCCAGGUUGUCACUCUCAUCCUAGCUGCAGUGGGGACACUUCACUUCUGCACGCACUGGUCCCUCAGCGUCCCUCCUCCAUCCCGUCUGCCCUGCUCUUCCUGCAACGCUCAGGUGCUCCUGGAGCGUCAGCACGGAGGACACAGUGUCAGCAACCACCUUCAAGGGCACCGGCCCCAGCUCAGGGCCACACCUGCACAUCCCAGACGUCACAUCUGUCCAUCUGACCAAAGGUCUGCAGGGGCCACGGGCAGCCUCUGCAGCACACGGCCAGCGCUCUCACCCUAGCAGGAAGGGCAUCCUGGGAGUGGGCUGAGGACCCCCGACCACGGAAGAAGAGGCCAGGAGGGAGCGUUCCUUGAUGAGUGGGCGUCUCCAUCCCUCAGGGGCCAACAGGCCUCCUUCACUCACUCACUCGCUCAUCCUGACGGUGCUGUGCGGACGUGCAUGGAGGUGGGAGUCCCCUGGUGCGGUUAUGCGAGCUCUCUCCAGGUGUCCCGAGGAGAGACUUAGGAGGACACCCCGUCCCUGUCUGGGCGUGGUGAUGGGCCCAGGUUCCUGCCUGCCCUGGCGAGACUUCUCCUGGUCACUCUGCCAACCCUCUGCUCUGGGGAGGAACAUCCCAGCGUCUCGGCCCCAGGGCCACCUCUUCUGGGGAGGACGUCUGACGUGCCUGUGUCCAUCUCUCCCGCAGGCCUUGCUCACAGCGAGGCGCGUGGACGCCACCCUUGCCUGUGCUCCCUGCCCAGCAUGGGGGUGCGUGAGUGCGUGAGUGGUGAGGAACGAGGGGCAGGAGACCAGUGCUCCGCCCAGCGCCGCGGCCCCCAAUGCCACCUGGCACGUCUGACUUCUGUGUAGCUCGCCCUCCGUGCCUGACGCCCAGAACCGACCCCCGGGCCGCUCAGCAUCCCAGGCAAGGGCGGAUGCGCAUUGGACAGUGAAUGGCUGCGGAGGAAGGGCGCUGGCCAAGGGAGCAGCCAGGAUGCCCUCGGAGAGGGCAGAUGUGCUGAGUUUGGGGCUCGCAGGACAAAUGUGGGAGCCCAGAUGAGCGUGUUAA